rnacentral:sRNA from 1 species
CCCAGGGCUUACGCCCUGGGCUACAUUCUUUCGCCGCUACGCGGCU